rnacentral:rRNA from 1 species
AUGCCACCUUCCGUGCAUGACAUGGAAGGCCUGCCGUUCAUGAAGCAUGGUUGUGUCUUCAGUGCACUCCGCCAGAUGAACGACAUGCUGGGACACACUAUCCCUGAUUUAUGCCGCUUCAGCUUGGACGAGUCUCCAUUGUGUGGAACCGGACUAGAAAGCUGCAACAAUGAUUCCCGUUGUCCACCGCUAUGGAUCGUGCCAUCCAUGAAGAACACCUGGGACUGGAACCUGGAGGAGGACAUUUGUUGCACGGGCUCCAACACGCUCUUUGAGAAAAAAAGAGUUGAUAUGAGAAUAGUAGUAAAUUACCGAUGCAAGUCGAAGAAGGAUUGGCCGGUGCUGCCGGCUGGCGUCAAGUUUGAUCCCACGGAUCAGGAGCUGAUCGAGCACCUUAAGGCCAAAGUGAGUGCUGACAGCGUGAGAUUUCAGUCUCUCAUUGAUUUGUUCAUACCAACCAUCGACAGCGAGCACGGCAUAUGCUACACCCAACCUGAGAAACUUCCAGGUAUCACACUGAGUGGCCUAAGGAAGCAUUUCUUCCAGUGCAAUUCCAGGGCAUUCAAAAGGGGCACGUGGACGCGUCGCAAGAUACAACCGGAGUGUGGCAUGCACGCAAUGUGGCACAAGACCGGCAAUACCUUGCCGAUGAUGGUCAACGGCCGGCAGACGGGCAGCAAAAAAGGUUCUGGUGCUGCACACCAACAAGAACUUUGA